rnacentral:rRNA from 1 species
AGUGAACGCUGGCGGUAGGCCUAACACAUGCCAGUCGAACGGCAGCACAGUAAGAUCUUGCUCUUACGGGUGGCGUGUGCCGGAUGGGUGGGGAAUACAUCGGAAUCUACCUUUUCGUGGGGGACAACGUAGGGCAACUCACGCUACUACCGUAUACGACCUACGGGUCAAAGCCGGGCAUCUUCCGACCUUGCGCGUUCGACUGAGCCGAUGUCGGAUUAGCUAGUUGGCGGUGUAAAGGCCCACCAAGGCGACGAUCCGUAGCUGGUCUGAGAGGAUGAUCAGCCACACUGGAACUGAGACACGGUCCAGACUCCUACGGGAGGCAGCAGUGGGGAAUAUUGGACAAUGGGCGCAAGCCUGAUCCAGCCAUACCGCGUGGGUGAAGAAGGCCUUCGGGUUGUAAAGCCCUUUUGUUGGGAAAGAAAAGCAGCAGGUUAAUACCCCGCUGUUCUGACGGUACCCAAAGAAUAAGCACCGGCUAACUUCGUG